GUUUUCGGUUCGCGAAAGUCAAAGAAAGUGAAGGGUUUGACCAGAAAGUGGGGGUGAAAUAAGUAGUGAAAUUUGCAUUGCAGUAUUCUGGUGCUGCUAGAACUGCUUCUUCCCCUAGAGGUAUUGCUGCCAGCUUGGCAAUGUCGUCUACGAGAACAAGGUCUGAAUCCAGGUACACAACCUACAUGGAUAACAAAUAUGUUAGAAAGGGACUGAUAAUUAUUAUGUGUAAUUUUCUCCUUUGAAUAAUUACUAAAUUCUAGUAGAGUAAUAAAAUUCGUCACUAAAUUUGGUUUAUAAUGCCCUUAAUUAGCAAGUAAAAAUGCAGCCGCUAAAAUUCCUUUUCCGGUUGCUCUUCUUCCCCUAGAGGUGUUGCUGCCAGCUUGGCAAUGUCGUCUACGAGAACAAGGUCUGAAUCCAGGUACACAACCUACAUGGAUAACAAAUAUGUUAGAAAGGGAUUAAUAAUAAGUGCAAUUUUCUCCUUUAAUUAAUUACUAAAUUCUAGUAGAGUAAUAAAUUUCGUCACUAAACUUGGUUAUAAAUAUUAAUACCCUUUGGCAAGUAAAAAUUCAGCCGCUAAAAAUCCUUUUCCGGUUGCUAUUUACGACGUAACCGAUAAAGAUCAGAGUCAUUGCCAGUCUAAAAGCUACGUAAAGUAUACGACAAGAUUUCAAUCUGAUCGAAAAUUACAAAACUUUUAGUGACAAGAAGAAUCCCUACCACUGUACCUGAAUUCCAGCCAUAUACCUCCGCAUUUUUAUUCGCUGAUUAUCAUUUCGGUCAUUAAAAACCUAUGGUCGCGAUAUUAAUCCAGUUCCUCCAAUUGUAUUUCCAAGAUCGAAUUUUACAUUCAGCAAUAAUAUUUUUAAGUGCCAAACUACUCUUUUUUUUCAAUGUGCGAAUAUUAACAUAUAUAUAAAUAUACACACACAUCCGAAAACAUAGAAAAUGAUGAACAUUCAGGAAUAAAUGAAGUAAAACAUAGAACGAAUUAAAGGUC
rnacentral:lncRNA from 1 species